GACGAACGCUGGCGGCGUGCCUAAUACAUGCAAGUAGAACGCACAGUUUAUACCGUAGCUUGCUACACCAUAGACUGUGAGUUGCGAACGGGUGAGUAACGCGUAGGUAACCUGCCUGGUAGCGGGGGAUAACUAUUGGAAACGAUAGCUAAUACCGCAUAAUAUUGAUUAUUGCAUGAUAAUUGAUUGAAAGAUGCUAUUGCAUCACUACCAGAUGGACCUGCGUUGUAUUAGCUAGUAGGUGAGGUAACGGCUCACCUAGGCGACGAUACAUAGCCGACCUGAGAGGGUGAUCGGCCACACUGGGACUGAGACACGGCCCAGACUCCUACGGGAGGCAGCAGUAGGGAAUCUUCGGCAAUGGACGAAAGUCUGACCGAGCAACGCCGCGUGAGUGAAGAAGGUUUUCGGAUCGUAAAGCUCUGUUGUAAGAGAAGAACGGGUGUGAGAGUGGAAAGUUCACACUGUGACGGUAUCUUACCAGAAAGGGACGGCUAACUAC
rnacentral:rRNA from 1 species